UACGUAGGGGGGCAAGCGUUGUCCGGAAUCAUUGGGCGUAAAGCGCGUGUAGGCGGCCAGAAAAGUCCGCUGUGAAAACUCGAGGCUCAACUUCGAGCUGUCGGUGGAAACUUUUCUGGCUAGAGUCCGGAAGAGGAGAAUGGAAUUCCUGGUGUAGCGGUGAAAUGCGCAGAUAUCAGGAAGAACACCCCGUGGCGAAGGCGGUUCUCUGGGACGGUACUGACGCUGAGACGCGAAAGCGUGGGGGAGCGAACAGG
rnacentral:rRNA from 1 species